rnacentral:tRNA from 1 species
GAGGAUAUAGCUUAGUGGUAGAGUGCUUGCUUAGCAUGCACAAGGUCCUGGGUUUAAUCCCUAGUACUUCU